CAGUAGCCGCGGGAACACAGAGGGUGCGAGCGUUAAUCGGAUUUACUGGGCGUAAAGCGUGCGUAGGCGGCUUCUUAAGUCGGAUGUGAAAUCCCUGAGCUUAACUUAGGAAUUGCAUUCGAUACUGGGAAGCUAGAGUAUGGGAGAGGAUGGUAGAAUUCCAGGUGUAGCGGUGAAAUGCGUAGAGAUCUGGAGGAAUACCGAUGGCGAAGGCAGCCAUCUGGCCUAAUACUGACGCUGAGGUACGAAAGCAUGGGGAGCAAACAGGAUUAGAUACCCCUGUAGUCCCUGUCUCUUAUAC
rnacentral:rRNA from 1 species